rnacentral:rRNA from 1 species
UACGUAGGGUGCAAGCGUUGUCCGGAAUUAUUGAGCGUAAAGAGCUCGUAGGCGGUCUGUCGCGUCUGCUGUGAAAACUCAGGGCUUAACCCUGAGCUUGCAGUGGGUACGGGCAGACUAGAGUGCGGUAGGGGAGACUGGAAUUCCUGGUGUAGCGGUGAAAUGCGCAGAUAUCAGGAGGAACACCGGUGGCGAAGGCGGGUCUCUGGGCAGUAACUGACGCUGAGGAGCGAAAGCGUGGGGAGCGAACAGG